GAAUGGAAAAAUAUCUGCUUUUUGUUACCGUCUCUUUCUUCGAUAUGUUCUCCUCUCAGACAAAAAAUCUGGAACCCUUUAAUGCUAACAUGCGCUGGGCUCUCUUCGGACUCUCGGCUCUCUUUUCCACCGCCACCGUCGAUUCGUCGAUAUAGGGUUUCUCUCUUGGUGGGUUUCGGAAAUUUUCUGAUCUUUCCUUCGGUUUCUAGGGCUUACAGCAACAUCAAUUCACGGAGGAUGAACCAGUGGUGUCGGAAUCAGCAAUCGUCGUAUGGGCUUACAGCAACAGCAAUUCUCGGAGGACUGUUGGAAACAGCGAAUCUGUUGUAUGAAACGAACAAGAACUCAAACUAGGGUUAAAGAAGAGCAAUUACUCAGCAGUGUGAAUGAGGAAGAGAGAGAAGAAUCGUUCGAGGAUUCUGAAAACUCUGGUGCUAUUGUGGAGGAACCAGUGAUGUCGGAAACAACGAAUCGUCCUAUGGUCACUCUCCUUUGUCAAAUUCCAGAGGGUUCUAACCAUAAUGCUUCAGCUGCUACAGUUGGUAUAAUCAAGUUGUUGAUUGGGCACUUUGAUUUGGAUCCAAACCGAGUCUUUGAUAUUAUUUUGGAGUGUUUUGAACGUCAGCCUGGUAAAUAGUAUAUUUUUGGACUUGAUUCCCAUAUUUCCCAAGUCCCAUGCCUCCCAGAUUCUGGGGUUUAAGUUUCAAUACUACCAACGCCUGGAAGUAAAUGAUCCUGUUCCAAGUGAACUUUAUCAGCUGACGGCCUUGCUGGUGAAAAGAGACUUCAUUGAUGUUGAUAGCAUGCCCAAAGCCUAAUUGGGCUUUCUAGUUGGCUCUUGGUAGGUAACCUGGACUAUUGGAUUUAAUUCAACUUAUUGCUACUGGCGACCUGGUUUUUGUUUCAGUUAUGCACAUUUACUUCCCAAGGAGGAUGCUGCUUUUGACCAUUACAAUGCAUUUUCAGCUAAAAGACUUGAUGAGGCUAGCAAAAUAGGUAGAAUAAUUGUUGCUGCUACUGGGAAGGAUCUCAUGGAUGAAGAGAAGCAAGGAGAUGUGAUGGUGGAUCUGUAUGCUGCAUUUGACAUGGAAACAGAGGCAGUUGCUGAGCGUUCCUCGGAGCUAGAAAAUAGUCAACCCCUGGGCUUGCUUAUGGGAUUUCUUGAACUGGAUGACUGGUAAGUUUGAUUUCGAAGUUCCAUGAUUAUGAGCUGAUCUUUGCAUUUGCCAGUGUGCAUGUUCUGGCCAUCUGUUCACCUUUCCUUUGCUCUGACUGAUUUUAUGUAUGUAAUUGUUCGACUAUCUUUUCUCUUGGUUUUAUAUUUUGACUA